rnacentral:rRNA from 1 species
UACGGGGGGAGCAAGCGUUGUUCGGAUUUACUGGGCGUAAAGGGCGCGUAGGCGGCCACUGCAAGUCAGUUAUGAAAUCUCCGGGCUUAACUCGGAAAGGUCAACUGAUACUGCAGGGCUAGAGUGCAGAAGGGGCAACUGGAAUUCUCGGUGUAGCGGUGAAAUGCGUAGAUAUCGAGAGGAACACCUGCGGCGAAGGCGGGUUGCUGGGCUGACACUGACGCUGAAGCGCGAAAGCCAGGGGAGCGAACGGG